GGUUACCUUGUUACGACUUCACCCCAGUCGUCAACCAGAGCUUGGGCGCCUGCCUCCCGAAGGUUAGCUCGGCGACUUCUGCCCUUGUCGGCUCCCAUGGUGUGACGGGCGGUGUGUACAAGGCCCGGGAACGUAUUCACCGCGGCGUGCUGAUCCGCGAUUACUAGCGAUUCCAGCUUCACGCAGUCGAGUUGCAGACUGCGAUCCGAACUGAGAGAGCUUUUCUGGGAUUGGCAUGGCCUCUCGGCUUAGCAUCCCUCUGUAACUCCCAUUGUAACACGUGUGUAGCCCUGGUCAUAAAGGCCAUGAGGACUUGACGUCAUCCCCACCUUCCUCCGGCUUGUCACCGGCAGUCCCCCUAAAGUGCUCCGCUUGUCCCGAUGGCAAUUAAUGGCAGGGGUUG
rnacentral:rRNA from 1 species